rnacentral:rRNA from 1 species
GAUGAACGCUGACAGAAUGCUUAACACAUGCAAGUCUUUGGCGAAGCUGUGCUUGCACCGCCUAGCCAAGGCGGACGGGUGAGUAACGCGUAAGGAACUUGCCCUGCAGUCAGGGAUAACAGACGGAAACGACUGAUAAGACCUGGUAAAGUCAGGCGGACUCAUGUCCAGCCUGAUGAAAAGAGAUGCUGCAGGAGAGCCUUGCGUCCUAUUAGCUUGUUGGUGGGGUAACGGCCCACCAAGGCGAUGAUAGGUAGCCGGCCUGAGAGGGUGGACGGCCACAAGGGGACUGAGAUACGGCCCUUACGCCUACGGGAGGCAGCAGUGGGGAAUAUUGGACAAUGGGGGCAACCCUGAUCCAGCAAUUCUGUGUGCACGAUGAAGGUUUUCGGAUUGUAAAGUGCUUUCAGCAGGGAAGAAAAAAAUGACGGUACCUGCAGAAGAAGCGACGGCUAAAUACGUG